AUUGAACGCUGGCGGCAGGCCUAACACAUGCAAGUCGAACGAGUGGCGGACGGGUGAGUAAUGUCUGGGAAACUGCCUGAUGGAGGGGGAUAACUACUGGAAACGGUCGCUAAUACCGCAUACCAUCGGAUGUGCCCAGAUGGGAUUAGCUAGUAGGUGGGGUAACGGCUCACCACGGCGACGCUCCCUAGCUGGUCUGAGAGUAUGACCAGCCACACUGGAACUGAGACACGGUCCAGACUCCUACGGGAGGCGGCAGUGGGGAAUAUUGCACAAUGGGCGCAAGCCUGAUGCAGCCAUGCCGCGUGUAUGAAGAAGGCCUUCGGGUUGUAAAGUACUUUCAGCGGGGAGGCGUUACCCGCAGAAGAAGCACCGGCUAACUCCGUGCCAGCAGCCGCGGUAAUUC
rnacentral:rRNA from 1 species